CCAUCAUUUAAAGAAAGCGUAAUAGCUCACUGGUCGAGUCGGCCUGCGCGGAAGAUGUAACGGGGCUAAACCAUGCACCGAAGCUGCGGCAGCGACACUAUGUGUUGUUGGGUAGGGGAGCGUUCUGUAAGCCUGCGAAGGUGUGCUGUGAGGCAUGCUGGAGGUAUCAGAAGUGCGAAUGCUGACAUAAGUAACGAUAAAGCGGGUGAAAAGCCCGCUCGCCGGAAGACCAAGGGUUCCUGUCCAACGUUAAUCGGGGCAGGGUGAGUCGACCCCUAAGGCGAGGCCGAAAGGCGUAGUCGAUGGGAAACAGGUUAAUAUUCCUGUACUUGGUGUUACUGCGAAGGGGGGACGGAGAAGGCUAUGUUAGCCGGGCGACGGUUGUC
rnacentral:rRNA from 1 species